UGUCCCAGGGAAAUCUUCCCAAAAACAGAGACUCAUCAUUGACUUAUCGGCUCCCCACUCAUCGGCCAACCCCAGUCUUAAUUCCCUCAUACCCUCUGAGGAAUUCUCUCUGCAAUACACCACCAUAGAUCACGCCAUUACAGCUAUCAUACAAGCAGGGGUUGGAGCCUGGCUCAGUAAGACCGACAUUACAAACGCCUUCAAAUUACUCCCUAUCCACCCCACACUGUGGCACCUGCAUGGCAUCAAGUGGUCCGGGAACUACUAUUUUUUCUCCCGGUUAACUUUUGGG